CGUCAACGAGGUUUAGACUACAGACCCUCUGAGAGGACCGUCAACGAGGUUUAGACUACAGACCCUCUGAGAGGACCGUCAACGAGGUUUAGCUUUAGGGUCAGACUUCUCUCUGUCCACUCCUUGGGGGCAUCUCAAAUCCAAAUUGUAUUUGUCACAUGCUUCUAAAACAACAGUGAAAUGCUUCCAUUUCAUGAACAACUUCUCCAUAUCGUGCUGCACUUUGACCAGAGCUCAAAGGGACCAGGCUGUUUGUUGGCAUUCUAGCUGUGUGAUGUAUUUAGGCUAAGACUGCUGACCCUAGCUGUCACAGUACUCUAUGGACCCUGGUCUAAAGUAGCGCACUAUAUAGGGAAUAGGGUGCCCUUUGAGACAGUCAUACUGUCUCAGCUCUCUGCUGCUAAUCACUGUGCAAUAAUGAUAGAGGUGACCAUUGUAGAAAAUGUGUUUAGUGUAUACUACCUACCUGGAUGGAUGGAUGGUUCUAGACAGGUGUUCAGUGUGUUAGUGUAUACUACCUACCUGGAUGGAUGGUUCUAGACAGUGUGUUAGUGUAUACUACCUACCUGGAUGGAUGGUUCUAGACAGGUGUUCAGUGUGUUAGUGUAUACUACCUACCUGGAUGGAUGGUUCUAGACAGGUGUUCAGUUGUGUUAGUGUAUACUACCUACCUGGAUGGAUGGAUGGAUGGUUCUAGACAGGUGUUCAGUGUGUUUAGUAUAUACUACCUACCUGGAUGGAUGGAUGGAUGGUUCUAGACAGGUGUUCAGUGUGUUAGUGUAUACUACCUGGAUGGAUGGUUCUAGACAGGUGUUCAGUGUGUUAGUGUAUACUACCUACCUGGAUGGAUGGAUGGAUGGUUCUAGACAGGUGUUCAGUGUGUUAGUGUAUACUACCUACCUGGAUGGAUGGUUCUAGACAGGUGUUUAGUAUAUACUACCUACCUGGAUGGAUGGUUCUAGAUAUUUGUUGAAUAGACAGCAUGGGUUCUCUUCCCCUAACCCCUGGUCUCAGGAACGAUUGGGUUAGUGUAUUGUUACAGCUGUGGGCGGACGACUAGCUAGCCGUUGACAGAAACAAAUUCACAGUAUAAUAGUCCACGGAUAAAGUAUCUACCACAGUACAGAUGAGCUAUUAUAAUAUUUAACCAUUUCUCAUUCUCUCACGUUAUGUGAUUAACCCCAAUAUACUGAACAAACAUAUAAACGCAACACUGAGUUAUAGUUCAUAAAAAAGGAAAUCCAGUCAAUUGAAAUAAAUGAAUUAGGCCAUAAUCUAUGGAUGUCACAUGACUGGGCAGGUUGCAGCCAUGGGUG
rnacentral:lncRNA from 1 species